GAAAGUACGUUUUCACCUCGGGUGACAGGGAGACAGGUGGUGCAUGGUUGUCGUCAGCUCGUGUCGUGAGAUGUUGGGUUAAGUCCCGCAACGAGCGCAACCCUUACCCUUAGUUGCGACCAGGUAAUGCUUGAGCACUCUAAGGGGACUGCCGGUGACAAACCGGAGGAAGGUGGGGAUGACGUCAAAUCCGCAUGGCCCUUAUGUCCUGGGCGACACACGUGCUACAAUGGCCAGUACAGAGGGUUGCGAACCCGCGAGGGGGAGCCAAUCCCAAAAAGCUGGCCCCAGUUGGGAUUGCAGGCUGCAACUCGCCUGCAUGAACGCGGAAUCGCUAGUAAUCGCGUAUCAGCUACGGCGCGGUGAAUGCGUUCCCGGGCCUU
rnacentral:rRNA from 2 species